rnacentral:rRNA from 1 species
AAGUCGUACACAAGGUUUCCGUAGGUGAACCUGCGGAAGGAUCAUUA